GGCCCCCCGUGAUGCCAGCACUGGGCUCUGAGCUCCAUGGUGACAAACACGGUGCCCCAGCCUUGGACUUCUGGGUCUGAGGGGGCC
ensembl:snoRNA